rnacentral:rRNA from 1 species
AUUGAACGCUGGCGGCAGGCCUAACACAUGCAAGUCGAACGAGUGGCGGACGGGUGAGUAAUGUCUGGGAAACUGUCUGAUGGAGGGGGAUAAAUACUGGAAACGGUAGCUAAUACAGCAUACCAUCAGGUGUGCCCUGAGGGGAUUAGCUUGUGGGGGUUGUACCGGCUCAGCAAGGCGACGAUGCCUAGCUGGUCUGAGAGGAUGACCAGGAACACUGGUGCGGGGACAAGGUGCAGACUCGUACGUGAGGCAGCAGUGGGGAAUAUUGGACAAUGGGCGCAAGCGUGAUGCAGCCAUGCGGAGUGUAUGAAGAAGGCCUUCGGGGCGUAAAGUACUUCAAGCGGGGAGGCGUUACCUGACGAAGAAGCACCGGCUAACUCCGUGCCAGCAGCCGCGGUAAUAC